CGCUGGCGGCAGGCUUAACACAUGCAAGUCGAACGAAGUCUUCGGACUUAGUGGCAGACGGGUGAGUAACGCGUGGGAACCUACCCUUUGGUACGGAACAACAGUUGGAAACGACUGCUAAUACCGUAUGAGCCCUACGGGGGAAAGAUUUAUCGCCAAAGGAUGGGCCCGCGUUGGAUUAGCUAGUUGGUGGGGUAAAAGCCUACCAAGGCGACGAUCCAUAGCUGGUCUGAGAGGAUGAUCAGCCACACUGGGACUGAGACACGGCCCAGACUCCUACGGGAGGCAGCAGUGGGGAAUAUUGGACAAUGGGGGCAACCCUGAUCCAGCCAUGCCGCGUGAGUGAUGAAGGCCCUAGGGUUGUAAAGCUCUUUCAGCGAGGAGGAUAAUGACGUUCUCGCAGAAGAAGCCCCGGCUAACUUCGUGCCAGCAGCCGCGGUAAUACNAAGGGGGCUAGCGUUGUUCGGAAUCACUGGGCGUAAGCGCACGUAGGCGGCUUUUAAGUCAGGGGUGAAAUCCCGGGCUAACCCCGGACUGCCUUUGAUCUUGGA
rnacentral:rRNA from 1 species